rnacentral:piRNA from 1 species
AACCACCCUUGUUUCAGCUGCUGCA